UUGUAUAUGGAUGUUUGUAUUUCUACAAACAAAUUGCGGCAAAGAAGGGGAAGGAAAUGUUCUCAAGGUGGAGCUCUAGCAAGAGACCAGCAUUUGGACAAUGCGGUAAACAGAUCUCAAUCUAACAUAACAAGCAUCACUGCCCAUUCAUGAUUAGGAGUAUCUUGUUGAGCUGAGAUAUGCAUGAAAAUGGAAAGCAAUCGAGUUGAAAUCCUCACUGGCUUUUCAAAAUCUGAUGAGGAACAAAAGUAUGAGAAAACACAUGGAGAAUGACCUUAUCAUCUUCCAACAACUCGAGAAAUGCAUGCUCUGAUGUGUUGAAGUUGAAGAUUUCGAGAAAGAAUGAAAGCUGUAGCAGAAAACAUAGGGCUGAGAUCUCUCCAAGAUGAUUUUGGGGAGGUUUGCCAAUUGACCUUAGUGAAAUCGAAAAAGAAAAAUAGUUCAUUUGUGUUUGGAGGGGCAGCCUUCAUCUGAUCUGACCACAUGGAAAAGCUCUCUGUGUUGAUGAAGAAUUCUUCAUCUCAAACAAGAUAAACUGAUGUUAAACACUGGGGGCACGUCUUUGUUUGGUUUUCUUGCAAGAAAAACAACGUUAAACUGAUGAUAAACUGAUGUUAAAGCUCGUAUUGUUGAAGUUCAAUUUCCUCUUGUCCCGCAUUGAAAGAUUAUAGCUUUAUCUAUGAAUCCUUCAAGGGUAGCCAGUUUGAUACUGAUUGUUGUUUCCAACAAAAGCUUUGUCUAUACACAUUUUCGUCGAAUGUUACAUAUAUUCAAUGUUUCCAUACAUUUCAAGAAUUUUGACAAGCAAACGGUCAUUCAUUGAAGUUCAAUAUGAAAUCUUCUGAGGUUGUCUAUGCUA